rnacentral:rRNA from 1 species
CCUACGGGGGGCAGCAGUGGGGAAUCUUGCGCAAUGGCCUGACGGCUGACGCAGCGACGCCGCGUGUGGGAGGACGCCCUUCGGGGUGUAAACCACUGUUGCCCGGGACGAACCGGACUCUUCGGAGUCUCUGACGGUACCGGGUGAGGAAGCACCGGCUAACUCCGUGCCAGCAGCCGCGGUAAUACGGAGGGUGCGAGCGUUGUCCGGAAUCACUGGGCGUAAAGGGCGCGUAGGCGGCUCGAUAAGGGGGCGGUGAAAGCCCGGGGCUCAACCCCGGGUCGGCCGUGCCGACUGUCGGGCUGGAGCACGGUAGAGGCGGAUGGAAUUCCGGGUGUAGCGGUGGAAUGCGUAGAGAUCCGGAAGAACACCGGUGGCGAAGGCGGUCCGCUGGGCCGUGGCUGACGCUGAGGCGCGACAGCGUGGGGAGCAAACAGGAU